GACAGAGGGUGCAAGCGUUGUUCGGAAUCAUUGGGCGUAAAGCGCGCGUAGGCGGCUUGGUAAGUCGAAUGUGAAAGCCCCCGGCUUAACUGGGGAGGGUCAUUCGAUACUGUUCGACUUGAAGGCAGGAGAGGGCAGCAGAAUUCCCGGUGUAGUGGUGAAAUGCGUAGAUAUCGGGAGGAAUACCAGUGGCGAAGGCGGCUGCCUGGCCUGUUCUUGACGCUGAGGCGCGAAAGCUGGGGGAGCAAACGGG
rnacentral:rRNA from 1 species